CAUGCAGUCGACGAUGAAGCCUAGCUUGCUAGGUGGAUUAGUGGCGCACGGGUGAGUAAUAUAUAGAUAACGUGCCUCUUAGUCUGGGAUAGCCAUUGGAAACGAUGAUUAAUACUAGAUACUCCUUCUAACUCUAAUGUUAGUCGGGAAAGUUUUUCGCUAAAAGAUCGGUCUAUAUCCCAUCAGUUAGUUGGUAAGGUAACGGCUUACCAAGGCAAUGACGGGUAGCGGGUUUGAGAGGAUGAUCCGCCACACUGGUACUGAGACACGGACCAGACUCCUACGGGAGGCAGCAGUGGGGAAUAUUGCACAAUGGAGGAAACUCUGAUGCAGCAACGCCGCGUGGAGGAUGACGCAUUUCGGUGCGUAAACUCCUUUUAUAUGGGAAGAUAAUGACGGUACCAUAUGAAUAAGCACCGGCUAACUCCGUGCCAGCAGCCGCGGUAAUACGGAGGGUGCAAGCGUUACUCGGAAUCACUGGGCGUAAAGCGCGCGCAGGCGGGCUGAUAAGCUGGAUGUGAAAUCCUAUGGCUUAACCAUAGAACUGCGUCCAGAACUGUCAGUCUAGAGUCUGGGAGGGGAAGAUGGAAUUAGUUGUGUAGGGGUAAAAUCCGUAGAGAUAACUAGGAAUACCAAAAGCGAAGGCGAUCUUCUGGAACAGUACUGACGCUAAGGCGCGAAAGCGUGGGGAGCAAACAGGAUUAGAUACCCUGGUAGUCCACGCCCUAAACGAUGAAUGUUAGUCGUUGGUGUCCUAGUGACAUCAGUGAUGCAGCUAACGCAUUAAACAUUCCGCCUGGGGAGUACGGUCGCAAGA
rnacentral:rRNA from 1 species